AUUGAACGCUGGCGGCAUGCUUUACACAUGCAAGUCGAACGGUAACAGGCCUUCGGGUGCUGACGAGUGGCGAACGGGUGAGUAAUGCAUCGGAACGUGCCCAGAGGUGGGGGAUAACGCAGCGAAAGCUGUGCUAAUACCGCAUGUGAUCUGAGGAUGAAAGCGGGGGACCAGGCAGCAAUGUUUGGCCUCGCGCCUUUGGAGCGGCCGAUGUCAGAUUAGGUAGUUGGUGGGGUAAAGGCCUACCAAGCCGACGAUCUGUAGCUGGUCUGAGAGGACGACCAGCCACACUGGGACUGAGACACGGCCCAGACUCCUACGGGAGGCAGCAGUGGGGAAUUUUGGACAAUGGGCGCAAGCCUGAUCCAGCAAUGCCGCGUGCGGGAAGAAGGCCUUCGGGUUGUAAACCGCUUUUGUACGGAACGAAAAGGCUCUGGCUAAUACCUGGGGUUGAUGACGGUACCGUAAGAAUAAGCACCGGCUAACUACGUG
rnacentral:rRNA from 1 species